CAAACUGAAGAUGGCGACCGGCGCACGGGUGAGUAACACGUAUCCAACCUGCCGAUAACCCCGGAAUAGCCUUUCGAAAGAAAGAUUAAUACCGGAUGGCAUACGAAUAUCGCAUGAUAUUUUUAUUAAAGAAUUUCGGUUAUCGAUGGGGAUGCGUUCCAUUAGUUUGUUGGCGGGGUAACGGCCCACCAAGACUACGAUGGAUAGGGGUUCUGAGAGGAAGGUCCCCCACAUUGGAACUGAGACACGGUCCAA
rnacentral:rRNA from 1 species